CGGCGGUCACUGAGCAGAUCGGACUUCCCCCGUUCGCGCACCUCGCUCAGCUUCCUCUGCACCCAUGUCUGACAAACCCCAUAUGGCUGAGAUUGAGAAAUUCGGUAAGUCGAAAUUGAAGAAGACAGAAAUGCAAGAGAAAAAUCCACUGCCUUCAAAAGAAACGAUUGAACAGGAGAAGCAAGCAGGCGAAUCGUAAUGAGGCACGCGCCGCCAAUAUGCACUGUACAUGCCA